rnacentral:lncRNA from 1 species
AAAAUGAGUCUCCACUAUUACCAAUCAACCCACUAACAACCAAAAAUACUAAUUUAUCUCCAACUUUGAUAAUAAAGAACGAUACUCAACAUAAGACUAUAAUAAUAAAAUAAUACUCAUCACCCUAAAAGAAUGACUAUGGAGCGACUCUAAGAAUUCAAAGAAAAGACCAUAACAAUAAAUGAAAUCUCCGCCCACGCGAAUAAAUGCGAGGCUCACCAUGAACUAUCAACCUGUGCGCUCUAAUUAACAAAAUCCUCGCAUGUGUCAACUGUUGUCUCUGUAAAAAAAUUAGCGGGGAAUGAAUCGCUAGCUCAGUGAGUAAUAACACUUAACACAACCGUUUUUAUUGGGGACAAGUCAGAAAACAUGCUAAUAUAUCAAACAGAAAAUAACAUAAGAAUGCCCUUUCAGAAAUAAUAAAUAAUUUUCAGUCUCAUCAUGUUUAUCUUGUAGUAUAAUACACUUAAAAAUUCAGUAAUCACCUCGGUAACCACUAUAUAAUAUCAAUAUUCACAUUUUGGGAGGUUUCAAUGAACGGAUAAUAUAAUCGGUAUAACUGUGGACUUCUUCACAAGAAGUCAAAUAUAAUGGUAGUCCCUACUCAAGGGAAAUCGGUAACGGUAUGUUAGUUCUACCUUCCCACUAGCGAGGGCUAUAACGGUAAUCUGUAAUUACAAGGUGCAUCAGGUCUAACGAACCCGCCGUUAGCUACGGGAUCCUUCAAUGACUACUCCCAUUUAUACUUGUCUUUGUAAUCCAUAUAUACUCGUAGAAAAUAUUUUAAAAACAAUAUAGGGCAUUUCGGUUCUUAUCAAAUCAUAUAAUAUCAUUUCGAUAACAGUAAAUUCAAGUAACGGUAAAACAGAUCUAGUGACAAUGGAAAUAUUUAAAAUCACGGUAAUCAUCUCAAAUAACUAUUUCAGUAUAAUAUCGAGUAAAAAACUUGCCCCACAUGCAACUCAAAAUAAUCGGUAACAUAUUCAUAUUAAAAAUCAUGUGUAAAUCAUGCAAGUUAUGAAAACACAAACUGCGGUAAGAUUACUACUCACUGUACUUGUGUCGAAUUACCAAACGCUUCACCUCGAGCAAUCUGUACAACUUUCUCCGAUCAAUCUCUUUUGCGAUUUUUUUGCUUCCCCCAAAAACUUCAAAUUCGUAGACUUUGCUUUCUUGUUCAAGCUUUAUGCAGAUAAAGCAAUGCUUUGUAUCUCUUUCCCCAAACUCCAUCACGAUUUACUGCCUUAGUAAAGCACCCAAAUUGAAGCCC